UCGCUGCAUGGUCAGGUGCGAUAGGCCGCGCGCCCUCACGCGGCGCACGGGCAAACAUCGGUGCAGACGCCGGGUCCGGGACCCUGCAAAGAC
rnacentral:tRNA from 1 species